rfam:Geobacillus sp. BCO2 LR69_contig000006, whole genome shotgun sequence.
UCCGCUGCUGCGUUGUGCGUUGUAGAAUGAAGUUUCAACCGAUGGCAAUCAAAAGGGAGUUCUACAUUGAAGCGGGAAUGUCAUGCCUCAAUAUUCGUGAUGGAGGACGGCAGGAACGCUUCUGCGAACACCCACCUGGUGGAGCGUGGUUGAGAAACUGCAUUCAGCCGACGGCAACCGCGGCGCGGAU